rnacentral:rRNA from 1 species
CCCUUAGAUGUUCUGGGCCGCACGCGCGCUACACUGAUGCAUUCAACGAGUCUAAAACCUGCUCUGAUAGGGGUGGGUAAUCUUUUGAAUGUGCAUCGUGAUUGGGAUAGAUGAUUGCAAUUUUUCAUCUUCAACGAGGAAUGCCUAGUAGACGCAAGUCAUCAGCUUGCAUUGAUUACGUCCCUGCCCUUUGUACACACCGCCCGUCGCUCCUACCGAUUGAAUGAUCCGAUGAAUAUCAUGGAUUGAGGAUGCAAGCAGGUUCGCCUGUCUUCAUCUUCGAGAAGUGAAGUAAAUCUUAUCAUUUAGAGGAAGGAGAAGUCGUAACA